CCCCCACAACCCCCAGCCUGGCUCGCCCACUACCCACUCAUACCUCCUGAUCUACCCUGAACGCACCCCAUACUGGGCUCUGCCCCAGGCGCUGUCUCCUCGUCAUAGGUGAUGGCAACUGGCUUCUGGCUGCUCGGGCCCAAAGCACAGCCACCAGUGCCUCUUCCCUUUCACUUCCAACGCACCAAGAUUGUGUCAGCAAACAGCAGUCCUCUGCCCUAGCAGUGCAGAAGCCAGGAGUUGAACCCAUGUCUCUCACCAGGUUAAGCUGCCUCGCUAAGUUUGGAUGUGAC
rnacentral:lncRNA from 1 species